AACAGCUCUACCCUGUGUACGUGCUUUAGAAAAUAAUGCUAUUUACCUUAAUUUUCACAUUUUCAACAAAGAGCAGGCACGAUUUGCUAGUGAACAGGACCCCAAUUUAUUGUUUCCCUUAUUACUAUAUUUCUCUACUGUUCUUAUGAUUCUACUUUAAGAAGACAUUAAUUUAAUACUAUGGAGUUGUAAUUUAUUAUAUUGGAUACCUAAAAGGGGUAGAAUCAGGUUGAACAAAGAAUUUUCUUGGCAUAAUUAGUACAAAUGUUUUGUUUAUGAAGUGCAGCAAUAUCUCCUUUAGACCCAGGCAAGAGGGACCCUGCUGUGAACCCUGGCACCCCGACACAUUUUAUGCACCCCAAUACCUAUGUUGCUUUGUUACAGGCAAAUGGUGCUUUCGUCUCUCAGGACCCCAUGCCCUGUGCUGGCACAGCAUGACCUAAAGCCCUAAACACCAACGCUUAUGUGCAACACUGCUCACCAAGGGAUAUCUCUUGACCUAUGCUCCCAACACACAAGGCACCUGCAUACAAAGGUCAUGAGAGUUUGUGGGUUGUAUGCCACUGAUGUCAAAGCAGAUACUGUUCCAAUUAGAGGAAGGAUUCCAGAGGAGGAAGCACUUAAGAAAGAAAAAAACAUAAUUGCCUGCCAAAUCCUUACACGUGGUUAGCAUGAAAGCAAUUAGCUCUUGCCUAAUUGAAAUAUUGGUAUGCUGAGCAUUCGUGUUCUUUUCACAUUCCAAUUCUGAUUCCUGAGGUACUUAAAUCACUUUGGUAUUCACCACAGUUGCGUAUAGCACCUGAGAAACAUUUUCUAACACUGAAUGAUGCAUGCUAUUCUUACAUUUGUAUGUAUGUAGGACUAGAUGUAACAAGCAUCUAUACCGUCAGUAGAGCAUAAAUUAUGUGCGGAUUUCAAUUAUAAUAACAUAAGUGUGAGCCACCGUGCCUAGCCAUAGUUUGAUUUUAAAUACCAAUAACCUUGAUAUUUUUGAAAGCCUACUUGUUUAUUUUCUCUCUGGUAUAUUGCAACUAUUUUUUUAAGAACAACUCAGCAAAAUAAAAUUCCUGUUUAUUGUUGGACAACAUUGUUUCAUGCAUAUAUCAAACAGGCCAAAAAAAACCCCAGCAACUUUAUAAACAAAAAAACGGAAAAAAAAGGCCGGGCGCAGUGGCUCACGCCUGUAACCCCAGCA
rnacentral:lncRNA from 1 species